rnacentral:tRNA from 1 species
GGGUAUAUAGCUCAAGGGUAGAGCACAUGCUUAGCAUGCAUGAGGUCUUGGGUUCAAUCCUGAGUACCUCCA